rnacentral:lncRNA from 1 species
ACUCUCCGGAGUGUGACUCAUAAGCCCUUGCAGCUCAAACAGCAUUGCAGAAUGAGCUACCAGCAACCUCUUUGUCCUUCAUGUGAUGUUACUGAAUCAGCUCAAGAUAAUUCAUACCUUGGAGCAACCUCGCAUUGCAAGUAAGGAAGGAGCGUUAUUUCUCAACAUAGAACAAACAGAAGACAGAAUUAACUCUAUCUUAAAGCUGCAUUACCACCCUGCUAUUCGCUUCCUGACUUCAGCUCAAGUGCCUACAGGCCCUGUCCUGCUAAGCUCUGUACAAGGCCUGACAUUUGACACCCAAGACCCCAGGACUUACACAGAGGCACAAGCGGAGGCCCUGGGGAAGAGCUCCAUGGUCACAGGACACCAGCUUUGGCCGUACUACAUUGUCAUUCAUUCCUCCCUGCCACACGCGUGCCUGACCAUAUAGGAAAAUGAGUUUACAACCGACUACGCCUAUGGGACUCCCGGAGGGAUACAAUGUGAGAGCCUUUACUAGUGGUGGAUGGUCCUCAAAAGGUUUGAAAGUUUGGUAAGUACGUCCUUAACCAAACUCUUUUGACCUUUAUUCAGAUUUGUUUUUGGAGAAGGGCAAAGGGUUGGGCCAAUUCUUGUUUCACCCAACUGGCUUGUCC